GAUUUCGCGCCGGUCUGCACCUCACCGACGCACACGACACCAUGCGGCGAGGCCUCGUUCUGCAAGCUACCCGAGUGAACUCGACCGCGUACAGGUGUUUUCUGCAGGCACUUCGCCAGUGCGGCGUAGAGUACGCUCCUGCGUUGCCAGAAAAGACGCCCGGUAGCCUUUCGCAUACGCCCGCCGCGCCUUUUUCGCCUCUCUUCACGACGCAGUUUGAUGCGCACCAGCACCAGCUCACCACCUUGGGAGAUGCUCUUGUCGAUCGUUACCUGUCCGGCGCGGUGCUGAAGUACUGUUCCCGACGCGGCAUCACGCUCACCACCAACGCUGCAAGCGAGCUUAACGCUGUCCUUCACAAUCACUUCGCCUUGCGGCUUUUUGCCAAGGAGUUGCACUUCGACGCGAUGGGGCUGACCCGCGAAGAGGCCGAUUGCGAGUCGAGUGACCCGUCUGCUGCAUCUCCUCUGCAUUUCUUGGAGGCGGAAACGCCGCUGCUCAGGAGUCAGGACGUCGCGGGAACGUCGUACCAGGUGGCGCUGCUUCCUUGUGGGCAGAGUUCGCUUGGAUGGAAGUUCUCGCACUUUGUCGGUGCUGUGCACCAAAGUUUGGGACUAGAUGCGGCCACGCGCGUUCUGGAUCACGUGUACCAGCUGGAUGAUGAGUCGAACGUGCCCAGGCAAGCCUCCAGGUUGCUGCUCCGCGCACUUGAGCACUUCCCGGCAAUGAAUCUGGCAGAGGCGAUCCUAGCAGUGCAAGGUCUAUCAGUGCACUACACAACUCGAUCUCGCGUGUUGCCUGGCAACUCCGAGCAGUCCGCUGAGUACACGCGCGCAGCUCAAGCUCCGCCAUCAGAGAAGCCACCACCAAACCAUGGAGUUGCCGUUGGCAACAGCCGCGAAGGCGAUGCUGAUGGGCUUGCUCUUGUUGCAGGAUUUAGUCCAACUGGCACCAAGGCGCGGGAUAUUACUCUCGAGUCCCUUACUGGAGGUUCGCCGUUGCCCAGCAGUCUGGCCAGUGGCCCUGGCCUGAUGGAUGCUGUGGAUGUGUGGCGACGCCGCACACAAGAACUCGUAGCUCGACAGCUUGAACCUGCGCCCGAGGCGGCUGCGGCGCCGGCAUCUUCCACAGCAGCGACGGACGGUUGGCUGUCUGCGCAGGAGCGGGUUGCCUACCAACGCGGACCAGCCUUUGCCGGCUGGGUGGACGUUGCCUCGACCCCGUCCUUCGCCGACAUCUACGGGACUUCCCAGCCAGAGGACGGCCACAUUGUGCGCCGCACAAAAUUCAAAAAGCAGGUGCGCGACCCCCGAUUUUACGACAAGAUGUCCGACGCGCGGAAUGGCGUGCCUUUCGACACAAAUGGGGAGUCUCUGACGGAGUACCUCGACCGUUUUGCUAAACCUCAUCAGAGGAUCUUCGAGGUGACAAUGCAGUCCGGCGCCGCAGGCGAGCUGAAGCUCAUCGGCCGCGCCAUUUCUACGCGCUACACCACUGCCCGGGAAAGCGCAUGCCGGUCGUUCAUCGGCGGCGUGCUCCACGACAUGCUGACUCUCGCUGGCGCCACCGAUGCGGCCGCCGCCGCCACUGGGCCGGCUGCGUGAUCACAGCCGCAACAGUUCUCUCUCUAUAAGAGCGUUGUGUUUCCCGCUAUUGCACUUUUUCUGGACCGUAUGCAGGAGCACGCACAAGCGCAGAUGGAGGGUUGUGAAUGCUAUGGUCCCAUUCACUGGCUUUGCUAAGACUUUGGAAAAAAAAAGCAUGUGCCCAUUCGCUGCCACACAGCAUGAGGCAAGCUCCGCUCGGCCCCCGGCGUGCCACAGGCCCCAUCGCCUGGCGCGAAGCAGCCCGAGACACGCACGCAUGCAAGCAAUGCCCCGACCCAGCCACCUCAGCACGGCCUCCGUCUCGAGCUGCGCCCACCCCUCCCCGCUUCGCGGGUCGCCUCAUAGCCGCUCCCCCAUCAUGCCAGUCGCCACCCCGGGUGCACCACCAUCACCACCCCCCCUCGUCCCUACACCUCGGCGUGACGCCCAGGCUGCCCCAACCAGUAGGCAGUGCGAGGGGCGCGUGAGAUGCACUCGAGCCAUGCUGGCACCUCGGCCCAUCGCAUGGGUGGCGCAAGCGUGCUCUCUGUCGCCGGUCGCUCCGACGCAUCCCCGUCCAGGACCUGACCACCGACAUCCGCAGUGAUACGUCGCACCCACCUGCCUAGGCGGCAGGCGCUUCACCCUGUCAUCACCAGCGGUGGGCUCGGCAUUUCGCAGGCACAGGAAGGGAGGGCUGCUUGGCUUCCCCGCCCCCACUCCCUCCCCCGCGCCGACAGAGCGAGUAGGGGUGUACUGAGCACCGAGAUACCACGCACUGAGGUGUCCUACAUCAAUUGUUUGUGCGUAAAAAGUAAAGAAAAAGAAAUUAUUUUUUUUUUCUUUCGCUGGCUGUUGUUGGGUAUGACGCGUUUGCUACAUAGCAGGGCUCGUGCGGGUAUGCCGCAUAUAGGGAUUGCGAGUCCGCUUUAGUUUUAGCACGUGUUGUCGCAGGGCGGCGAACGUAGACUGCCGGUGCUCUCUUCCUGGUUCGCUGCGGUGAAUUCCUUUGCUUCCUCGCCCACCCAUCUCUUUCUCUGCGUCUUCCACUUGUUGUGCUCCGGUGUUGCCCUUGG
rnacentral:misc_RNA from 1 species